rnacentral:rRNA from 1 species
GAUGAACGCUGACAGAAUGCCUAACACAUGCAAGUCAACCGGUGGCGGACGGGUGAGUAACGCGUAAAGAACUUUCCUCACAGGUAGGGACAACACUUGGAAACGAAUGCUAAUACCUGAUAUUGUGAGAGAGCUUUGCGUCCCAUUAGCUAGUUGGAGAGGUAAAGGCUCAAGAAGGCGAGGAUGGGUAGCCGGCCUGCGAGGGUGAUCGGCCACAAGGGGACUGGGACACGGCCCUUAGGCAUACGGGGGGCAGCAGUGGGGAAUAUUGGACAAUGGACCAAAGUCUGAUCCAGCAAUUCUGUGUGAAAGAUGAAGUUUUCGGAAGGUAAAGUGCUUGCAGUUGAAAAGCGGUACCAACAGAAGAAGUGACGGCUAAAUACGUGCCAGCAGCCGCGGUAAUUC